UCAGGACGAACGCGGCGGCGUGCUAAUACAUGCAAGUCGAGCGGACAGAUGGGAGCUUGCUCCUGAUGUUAGCGGCGGACGGGUGAGUAACACGUGGGUAACUGCCUGUAAGACUGGGAUAACUCCGGGAAACCGGGGCUAAUACCGGAUGGUUGUUUGAACCGCAUGGUUCAAACAUAAAAGGUGGCUUCGGCUACCACUUACAGAUGGACCCGCGGCGCAUUAGCUAGUUGGUGAGGUAAUGGCUCACCAAGGCAACGAUGCGUAGCCGACCUGAGAGGGUGAUCGGCCACACUGGGACUGAGACACGGCCCAGACUCCUACGGGAGGCAGCAGUAGGGAAUCUUCCGCAAUGGACGAAAGUCUGACGGAGCAACGCCGCGUGAGUGAUGAAGGUUUUCGGAUCGUAAAGCUCUGUUGUUAGGGAAGAACAAGUACCGUUCGAAUAGGGCGGUACCUUGACGGUACCUAACCAGAAAGCCACGGCUAACUACGUGCCAGCAGCCGCGGUAAUACGUAGGUGGCAAGCGUUGUCCGGAAUUAUUGGGCGUAAAGGGCUCGCAGGCGGUUUCUUAAGUCUGAUGUGAAAGCCCCCGGCUCAACCGGGGAGGGUCAUUGGAAACUGGGGAACUUGAGUGCAGAAGAGGAGAGUGGAAUUCCACGUGUAGCGGUGAAAUGCGUAGAGAUGUGGAGGAACACCAGUGGCGAAGGCGACUCUCUGGUCUGUAACUGACGCUGAGGAGCGAAAGCGUGGGGAGCGAACAGGAUUAGAUACCCUGGUAGUCCACGCCGUAAACGAUGAGUGCUAAGUGUUAGGGGGUUUCCGCCCCUUAGUGCUGCAGCUAACGCAUAAGCACUCCGCCUGGAGA
rnacentral:rRNA from 1 species